CCCUCCCCACAAGCGCACCGCGCAUCGCGCCAUCCGGCUGGGGGGCUGGUGGGGGGAGCAGUCACUGCGGGACCGCCCCCGCUCACGCAAUACGGUGCACGGUAUAUUCACAGGACAGCACGUGUGUAUGCACCGGUGUGACCGCUCGCCCUCGAUGCACUUGGAUUUCAAGCACGAAUGUAUGCAUGUGCGCAAGUCUAACAAGUUCACAGAUAGCGCUCGUAUGCACGUACAUGUAUGYAUGUAUGUGUCCCUGUAUCGAUGGUUGACCGCUUGCGCUGUGCACUUGGAUUUCAAGCCAAGUAUGCAUAUGCAYGGACAAACAAGUCCGUGAAUACAUAUAUAAUUCGUGCAUCCUUGUGACCCUAGGCUACUAAAUAUAAAUAUGC
rnacentral:misc_RNA from 1 species